UCUAGAUAGUUAGGAUGUCCUGCAGGACAAAGGUGCUGUGGUAAAAUGCUCCUUGGAAAGAGGGCUGAGUGCGGCUGAGGUUUUCUGAGAGCCUGUGCUUUACCUGGACAACACACUGCAAAGAGCUGCCUGGAGGGGUGGCUGGGUUCCAUCUCAAGGAGGGGAAGCUGAGGCAAACUGCAGCCUGGCUGUAGUUACUGUGGGCAGGCUCAUCCUGCUAGACCCUGUCUGCAUGUUGCUGUGAGCUGUGGGUACCUGCAGGAGGAAGGAAAACCACUGACCACCUCCAUGCCCCCCUGUUGCUCGCAUAUAACUGAUUUCCACUUUCUCACUACAGGAGCAGCUCCAAUCUCCUCUCUCUGUGCCAAGCACGCUCCCUAGGAGGACAAGUCGAUGCCAGCUGCAUGUCUAAGCCAUAGCCAUCGUUCUAUUGCAUUUCCAACAGAGGAGCAAACACAUGGAGAGAUGGAAAUGGGUUCUUUCUCUAGGAAACAAAAACAAUGAAGUUUCAGCCUGGCCUGACUAGCAAGUAAUGAGUGCUGCCAUCCUAUCAACACAAGUUUGCCUUUUCCAGUGAAGCUCUUAAAUCACACAAAAACACCUUCAGAAGCAUCAAGGUAGGUUUGUGAUUCAUGUCUUGAUGGUGCAGGGUUUUAGAAUUGCAUUAGUCAUCUCAGACCUAAGUAAAGAGCAGGGAUUUCUAAAGCAGCAUCUUAUAUGUGUUCUGUUCCCCACCCCCUGAAUCUCCACACAAAUAAAGUAAAUUUAAAAAAAAAGGGGGGGGGGGGGGGGGG
rnacentral:lncRNA from 12 species